rnacentral:rRNA from 1 species
UACAGAGGGUGCAAGCGUUAAUCGGAAUUACUGGGCGUAAAGCGCGCGUAGGUGGUUCGUUAAGUUGGAUGUGAAAUCCCCGGGCUCAACCUGGGAACUGCAUUCAAAACUGACUGACUAGAGUAUGGUAGAGGGUGGUGGAAUUUCCUGUGUAGCGGUGAAAUGCGUAGAUAUAGGAAGGAACACCAGUGGCGAAGGCGACCACCUGGACUGAUACUGACACUGAGGUGCGAAAGCGUGGGGAGCGAACAGG